AGUGAACGCUGGCGGUAGGCCUAACACAUGCAAGUCGAACGGCAGCACAGUAAGAGCUUGCUCUUACGGGUGGCGAGUGGCGUACGGGUGAGGAAUACAUCGGAAUCUACUUUUUCGUGGGGGAUAACGUAGGGAAACUUACGCUAAUACCGCAUACUACCUACGGUUGAAAGCAGGGGAUCUUCGGACCUUGCGCGAUUGAAUGAGCCGAUGUCGGAUUAGCUAGUUGGCGGGGUAAAGGCCCACCAAGGCGACGAUCCGUAGCUGGUCUGAGAGGAUGAUCAGCCACACUGGAACUGAGACACGGUCCAGACUCCUACGGGAGGCAGCAGUGGGGAAUAUUGGACAAUGGGCGCAAGCCUGAUCCAGCCAUACCGCGUGGGUGAAGAAGGCCUUCGGGUUGUAAAGCCCUUUUGUUGGGAAAGAAAAGCAGCAGGUUAAUACCCCGCUGUUCUGACGGUACCCAAAGAAUAAGCACCGGCUAACUUCGUG
rnacentral:rRNA from 1 species